UGUUAAAAUACUAAUUUUUAUAUUCACCUCGUGUAUAUCGAUACCAUGAUUCAAGGACCACAUAGUUUGGAAAUAGUCUUGCAUACGUUGUUUCAGUUCUUCGGGGAUCUGAUGCAAUACGAAAAAAUCCUUGAGAUCCCGCAAUUUUGUUUGGUACAGCGAUCUUCUAGAGUAAAUUCUUUGAAUAAUUGCAGUCACGUUACCAAAGACCACGGCAUGCAUCAGAGCUGUAGCAUACACGAUAUGUACAAUGUGGAAAUAAUUCCUAUUUGUGUAAAAA